rnacentral:pre_miRNA from 1 species
CAGUGGCCUUCAAAAGUAACAGCACCUCCACUGGAAAUAUGGCUAGUCCACAUGGAGUUGCUGUUACACUUGACAGCCCUGCUU